GGCUGUUGCUUCUUCUUUCUCUUCUCCUGAAGAAAAUUAUGAUGUUUUUCUUAGUUUCAGAGAUGAGGAUACCUGUAAUAAUUUUGCCAGCCAUCUGUAUGCCGCAUUGUGUCAAAAGAUGAUCAGUACAUUCAUUGAUGACGAGCUUAAAAGAGGGGAUCAGACUCCUCCAUCUCUUUUUAAUGCAAUUGAACGGUCAAAGAUUUCCUUGAUUGUUUUCUCAAAAGAGUAUUCUUCUUCGUUACGGUGCCUUGAAGAACUUGUAAAGAUCCUUGAAUGCAAGGACAGUUAGGGUCAGAUUGUAAUUCCUGUUUUCUAUGGUGUAUACCCAUCAGAUGUAGGGAAUCAGAUUGGGACUUUUGGGGAUGCAUUUACUAAGUUUGAAAAACGUUUCAAGGGUUCACAAGAAACAUUGCAGAGAUGGAGGACUGCUUUGAGAGAAGCUGCCAAUCUAUCUGGCUUUGAUUCAAAUGUCAUCAGUUUUCCAAAUUUGUUACUGAAUGGAACUGACACAGGCUUGCAGGUCCUAAAAGAAGCGAGUAGCACUUGAGUGAAACUUGGAGGUUGAAAUCUUCUUAUAUGAAAGGUAACUUAAGUUCAAACCCAUGAGCUUAUUAUAGUAGGUUGGAACAAGUUGAUAGGAUAACCUUUUACAUCCCCAUAUCCCUCCAGUGGUAAAGUGUUAAAAAAUGACUUAUGCAGAUUCUGCGCAGCAUCUUUCUUGUUACUUUGGUAGGAAAUCCUCGAAGAGGAAAUUCAAGGCUUUGCACUCCAUCAUUUAUGGGGUUUUCUUGUUUGCCUGAUCUUGAAGAUAUGCCAAAUCUUGGAACUGUCUAUGGUAUUCUGUAUAAUUGUGGUGGUGUCCUGCAUCAUAGUUCAAUGGUUUCAAGUCAGUUUGCAACCCUCCCAGAUGACUGAAAGGAAAGCAAAAAGCUGCAAAAACACGCCAAACUGUUUAUAAUAUAAGGAGAUAUUCUUUAUGGGAGAGGAUUAACAAGAUUAUUACAAUGCUGUGGGAGGAAGCUAACCAAGUAAUGAAAGAAGUUAAGCUGACCAACAAUGGAAGACAAUACCACCUGCUUUGUUCAGAAUUGCAAAAUUGACAGUGAUUGUUUAAGUCUUGCUUGGUUUCUGGUGCACACAUUAACGAUAACCUUUUUGCUGGCCAGUGGACACAUAUUGUGAUGGAUGUCAUUCUGAAAUUCUCUGGAUUUUCUUCCCUGGAAUUCGGAUUAUGUUGCUGAACUAUUUAAUUAGAUAUGUUAGAUGAAGGCUACUGCUAUAUAAUCUUUUACUGCCGGAUGUUUUCUGUGUUGUGAUUCAACGUAAUUACUAUCUAAUGUUGGUGAUGUUUGGUUUUCUAGGCAGCGAAAUGAUGUUGAUUGCUCUUUCUACUCUUGGACGCUGCUACUAUUUGGUUACUUGUUUUCUGUGUGAAACUCUGGUU